rnacentral:lncRNA from 1 species
UCAGGUGCGGCCGGGGGGGAUUCCCUGUUGAGUAGGUUCCUCUCUUGAGGAUGGAAGUGAAGUUCAGUUUUGAUGUCGACUCCGCUCUAAGAGCAGUGAAGUUGAAUUCGAGUGAAAAAGCAGUUAGCUCAGGUAGCUUGAACUAUAACUCUUCCUCCCACUAGGGAGAGCGAGGUUUUCAAUCCUUUUGACUUGACACCUUUCUUGUCGGAGUGAACGGGGUUGCCUCGUUUCGGGGUUAUCUUGUUGAAUGCCCGUUGAAUCGUAUAUAACUGAUUGUCUAACUGGAAAGACCUCCAUACCUACCGAUCUGAGUACAGAAAUCUUGUGUAAGAAAAUGGGUCGUUCUUGUAUAUGUCCACUAAUUUAUAUAUCCCCAAGGAACUCUCAUUAGAAGGUCAUAUCCGAGUCCAUAACUUAUUUUGUAAUAGCCCUUUGACCCUGUUUGCUCUUCCUAUUUCUUAGUAGGAGUGCUCCUAUGUUAGCAGGACAUUUCGUGCAAGAACUAGGUUUGAGUUAGUGCACUAACUAGGUUCUUUUUUCUCCCCUAAUGGCUCUAUCUCUGAGUUCUUAUUUCGCUCACUAGGGCAGAGGAGGGCUCCAAGCUAUCUUGUUAAUGAUAAGCCAGAAUCCUUUCUUCUAUUCUUUAUGUAAUUUCCUCUACCGUUUGGGAGUGAGUUCGAAAUUACCUUUGCUUCGCAACCUUCUUCAAGGUUUCGGCCAGGAGAAGGUAGAGCGGAUGUAAAUGUGCAAACAGCACCUGCCUUUCAAGUUGCACCGGCGAGCGCAUCCGAUUCGAAAGUCCUUUCCUUCCCGUUCAGUUGCUGAAAGUAUAGAGAUAAGCUUUCCCCUUUACUUCGUAACCUUAUCUAUACCUAUACCUUGUAACCCAGGUUACGCUCUUCCCCGGUUCCUUCUAUUUAGAUUCUUUAUUCAAGGCGAGAACUCUUUUCUUUCUGAACCUUUCUUCUCGGGGACGGAUAUAGUGGGGUCGGAUAU